rnacentral:misc_RNA from 1 species
AAUGAUUCAUUGGUGUUUUCAUUUUUAGAGGUACUAAACGUGUGGCACAUGUUAAAUGGUUGACUGAGUACCUCAUGGACUAUCAUCAGUGCCAAGUGAAGAUUUAAGCUUUUGAAAUAUUUUAAUGUAAUUUUUAAGUACAUUAACCACAUACACUAAAAUACGCGAGCACAAUAAAUAUUUCCAGAGCUAAAUGAACAUGAUUGUGUUAAUUGGUGCUAGUGGAACAAUUUCAACAAAGCCCAGAGAAAAGCUGAGACAACUCAUUAAACAGUGUUUUGGCCACAGACGCAGUUUCAAAAUAAGUUAUUUCCCUUGUAUGCACGUUCUACACAUUAUCUACACACACAAUGUCUGCUUCAAGAAUAAUCACUCGUGUGUUCUUUAUUCAUUCAUUUAUUUAUAGGCCGAUGGGAGUUGUGAGAUACAAAUUCUUUCUUGUUUCUUUUAUCUUAAAAUAUAACACUGUUAUUUGUGUGAACAGUACACAACAUAAAUAGUGUUAUAUAAUUUGUAUAGGCAUCUGUUAUCUUUUUGACUUUUGAGGCAAAGUGGAGCAUUUGAAAUAAAAAUCUGCGUUUUGUAAGAGGAAACAAAGCACUUUGGAUAAUAUAAACAUUAUAAGAACGUUCUGAGAAAAGGAAAAUCUAUAGUGCUUUUUAUUUAAUUUUGAUUUUAUAAAACGCAGACAGGGGCCAGAAAGAUACAUACGGAUGCAAAGAUAGAAAUAUAAACAGAUAUUUUGCGGUUUUAGCAAUAUCCAUUUGCUCCAUCAACAAUUGAAGCCGACUUUAAAAUCUUGCUGGCAUGAACUCUAGGGAAUAAUAAAUUUCCCUGUCUUUUAUCAAAGAACAUAUUAGUUAUGACUGUACUAAACUGUACAAGGAAGACGAAAACUUGGAGUGUUUAUAAGAUGUAAGGAGUACAGGAUGUACUCAACCUUCAGCUCCAGUUGAUGUGGACAUCGCACUCACACUGUUGUCUACACUGUGUAUCGCCAUGGAGACAGCUUUCCAAAUAUUCUCUUUUCUAAUAAUAUUUAGUUUACAGAAGCUGGCGUUUUCUUCUUGCAAUACAAGGGGAAAGGUGAACGUCGGUGAAAUAUUAUCUCAAAACGAAGGCAGUUUUUUAAAUAUUAGUUAUCUUCUCAAUGUUAGUGAAAACUCAAUAUCUACAGACGCAGCAUAUCUCAGUGUUGACGUGUGCCAAAAAAGCAACAGAUCACCUCUGUGCAAAUUUAUAAGGCUACAGCAGUCUCAGGACUUCACUGUGAAAUAUAAUGAUGUCAGAGAUGACACACUGUGUGUAGCAGAGCUUCGCUACAUCACCAGCUCCAUGAGGACCUGGGAGAUAAAGAUUUCACAGCUGCUCACUCGGUCCAUCACUGCUAUAUAUCUCGACAUUCAGAACAAAACUCUACACAGACAGACAGUGCUGCAGAUACCCAUUGAUGUGACAUACCCAUCCAAAGUCACAAAUCUGACCGUAGACGGACAAGAAGUGAAUAAUACUCAUCACAUUAACGAGGGUCAGGAAGUCAACGUCUGCUGCUCUUUUAACAGAGGAAAUCCUCCUGCUGUCUUCAGUCUCUUAGACAUAAGUGGAAAGGAUAUUGCUCAUAAAGUGGAUAAAAACGCAAUAAAAAUGGAGAGGGGUGAAGAGCAUCUAAAGGUUUCUCUGUCAGUCAGAUGUCAAGACGACUGGCCGACAGUCCGUUGUGAAGGAAACGGGUCGGAAAGAAAUAGAUCGGUGUCCUUUCUUGUGAGAUGUGCUCCUCAGUUUGUUGACGGUCCUGUCACAUUUGUAUCCUCAGAAUUGGAGAAAGUAACAUUUCGUGUAAAAGCACACACAACAAUAUUCAAGGAAUGUUUCCUGACACCGACCCCGUCACAGGAUACAUUCAUACCGAUGGUGAAAUGCAACCUGAGUGGAGAGCCUCCUAAUCUGUUGUUGACGCUUCAUCCGGAAGAAAACAUUACCCAAGGAAUCUGGAAAAUAACUCUUGGCAAUGAAAUAGGUUCUACCAACACAACAGUGAACAUCGCUGAAUAUACUAUGUCUGAGACGACAGCUCCAAGUGUAGAGUCAGUGUCUGAGACAACAACCCAGUGUGUAGAAUCAGUCGGUGUAUUAACAAUCGGCCUCUCGUGUGGUGGUGUCUUGCUUGUCGCUGUUAUUGCCAAUGUCGUCGUUUGUCUAAAAAUAAGGACCAGGGAACAUAAAAACGGUAAGUUUAUGUUAUAUAAGAUUGCGGUCUGCUAUUUAUACUUGUCAUAAAAGUUGUCAUGACAGAAUUCAUAUAAAGUUUGUAAUACGUUUAAACAUUAAUUACCAUCCAUCAUUUCAUUUUUUUUUUUGGUUCUUUACCCCGGGUCUUAGCGUCGUUGUAUUAUUAGAAAAAAAGUAUAUCGAGAAAGCGUUUUGAAGAAAGACAGAAAAUGCUAAUGGCUGAUUACACUUUUACUCGGGUCACCUCCGUCUACUGCCGAAAUUUUCGAAUAUCAAGACAAAACUGAGCUGGUCUAACAUUUAGAUGUUGUUUAUGUGUCUAAGAAUAUCUUUUACCCUACCUCAUAGAUAAUAUUUCAUGAGUGAACUUUUAUGUUAGUGAAUCCCAAGUUUCUUCGUUUGGCUUCUCGUGAAUUGCAUCGUGUGAUAUUUCGCUAUACAGUUUCGUUGUGAUCUACCCCAUCGUGUUUUAAAAAUGUCGUGUCUGGUUUUGUUAGCAUUUAUUUUACUCCAGGCCUGCAGUUUGCAGUUCCACCAUUUGGAGCAGCUUGCUUUGUGUUGAAAGCAGGGCACAGCCCUGACGAUUAUUUAUUUGUAUUUGGAUGCGAAAUAAAGCUUUGGGUGUGUGUUGUGUGUUUACAGUCACUUUUUAUGUACGUAAGAAAACAGAUUUCUAUCGUUCGGUGCAAUUUUGAAGAAAAAACUGACUUGACCUCGCGUUGACACUAACGUCUUCAUUACGUGAUUGCGUCGCGAAUCAGCGCGUGUCGUCACAACCACGUGACCGAGUGUUUUCUGGAUAAUGGAAUUCUGGAAACAACAAUCAGCAUGCAACAAGUGACUUUGCUAUCGUAAGAUUUGAACAUACUGUGUAAAUAAACAUAUUUGCAUUGAAACACAAGUCCUUUCUUUCAUGCAGCUUACCUACCUGUUGGUCAUGCGCUUAUCUUCUGCUCUGAGCAGUUCACGCAUGCAGUUGUUUGUGUGAUUUAGGGUCGGUUGUCCCUGAAUUGAUGAGUGCAUGUACAUCCAUCAAUUUUUCUGCAAAGGAGUAUGAGCUGUAUAAGAGUUUUGCAUGUAAAAACAUAGAUAUAUCGGCUUUCACGCUUGCUUAUGAGGAUUACUCUACUUUUGCUGCAAAUUCUGUUUAGGACCACAUAUUGUGCCAAAAUUUUCUUAAAGAAAGAUCUUCAGUCUGUACAUUUUCUUUACUUACUUCUCACAAUGUAUUAUGACAAAAUCCUUAUAGUAACUCUUUAGAUAUCAUGCUACAAAAGUUUGAAGUUUUUCCCUUAAACCAUAUUGGACUCAUUUCUUUUUAAAAACAAAAUUACUUAUUUACUAUUCGUCUUAUUGAUUAAUAAAUUAGAUUUUAUCAGUUUACUUUAUAGUAUUUGUUUGAAAAAAUCAAUUCUUGUCUCUAUGGUGAUCCUUGAAACAUUAGGAGAUAGAAAUGACAGUUUGAUAUAACUUUAUUAAUAUCUCUAUUUGUAUUGAUACUUUAUAAGUUUAUAUGAUUGCACAAGCUUGUUUAACCCACAAAACUUAUUGCUUUCUUUCCUUUCCGUACAAAUCUUUCACGAAAACUAAGCAAAAUAGGGUUCUGCAUGUUGAAUUCAUGAUGCACGUACAUUCUGUGUUCUCUCAAAAUCGUUUCCAUGUCCUUGCGGUUUUACCAGUUACCUGCACAAUGAGUGUGGCUGCUGUUCUCAUACUGCCAGUCUCUUUAGCUUAACCUGAUCCUUGUCCUGGAUUGUUCUGUAUGUUUUCUUUACCUGUUUACAUUUACUUAACAGCCCGGUUUAAAAUAUGUAUUAUUAUUAUCAUUUGAAUUAAAUUUUAUUUGGCCCUUUGGAAAAAAUACAUUAUUUCUUGGAUUUUUUUUAAAGGGUCAGGUAAAUAAGAAGCAAAAGUGUCUGACAGUUGUAUAGCUAAAAUAAUCACAUUUGCUAACCUACAACAGCUGAAAGCUAUCCUUAGAAUUUAGACAUUUAGAUUCUUAGUAUUAGGCUGAAUCGUAUACAAUUUCCUAAUUUCCUAUAAGUCAAAUAUCUUGGUAGGAUUGACUAUGUAUCGUGGGAAUGAAGUACUGAAGUGGGAGAGGAACCAAAGAACCCACAAAAAUAACGGGGAUUCAGCUUCAAAUGCAAGUGACACUCCUGUUGC